rnacentral:lncRNA from 1 species
UUCUUGCUCACUGGCGGUUAUUUCUGUUUUUUCCAUUAUUUUAAUUAGACUGUAACCUGAUGUACUGGACUGUGUUUCCUGCUCACUGGAAGUUAUUUCCAUUAUUUCUGUUAUUGUUCUUUGUCAUCUGAUGUGCUGGACUGCAUUUCCUGCUCACUGGUGCUUAUUUCCAUUAGUUCCGUUAUUUCUGUUAUUUCUGUUACUGUUCUUCUUCUGUCACCUGAUGUGCUGGACUGUGUCUCUUGCUCACUGGAGUCCAUUUCUCUUAUUUCCAAUAUUUCUUUUUUUCUGUUAUUUCCACUAUUUUUCUUAGCUGGUCAUCUGACGUGCUCGACUGUGUUUCCGGCUCACUGGAGGUUAUUUCCGUUAUAUCCAUUAUUGCAGUUAUUUUCGUUAUUUUUCUUACUCUGUCGUCUGAAGUGCUGGAUUGUGUUUCCUGCUCACUGGAUGUUAUUUCUGUUACUUCUGUU